rnacentral:lncRNA from 1 species
UGCUCCACGGUAUGGUUGGUUUAAAGGACUCUGCCUAAACAUACCUUUUAUGUCAACACAUACUGGAUUAUUAUUUUACUAUACUAAUAAAUAUUUUCUAAAAAUCUCAGUUUUACUUUCUAGAGUAGUAACAUUGAUACCUUUUUCCCUCACUUACAACUCCUGUCAUGUGUUUUGUUUUCUUUUUAAAUGUGACACAUUUUCAGCAACAAAACUGUCUAUCCAUGUAAAUUUUUCCAAAUAUUUCAAAAUGCAUUCCCAAAGUAAGAGGUUUUUAAAAUUAUGUAUUUCUUUCACUUCCAAUGUAAGAAAUACCACCUUUAUGUC